UACAGAGGUCCCAAGCGUUGUUCGGAUUCACUGGGCGUAAAGGGCGCGUAGGCGGGCUAUCAAGUCCGGGGUGAAAUCCUCCAGCUCAACUGGAGAACUGCCUCGGAUACUGAUGGUCUCGAGGAGGAUAGGGGCACACGGAACUGUGGGUGGAGCGGUGAAAUGCGUUGAUAUCCAUAGGAACUCCGGUGGCGAAAGCGGUGUGCUGGAUCCUUUCUGACGCUGAGGCGCGAAAGCCAGGGGAGCAAACGGG
rnacentral:rRNA from 1 species